rnacentral:tRNA from 1 species
UCCCUGAUGGCUCAGAUGGUUAAGAAUCUGCCUGCAGUGCAGGAGACCUGGGUUCAAUCCCUGGGUAGGGAA